rnacentral:tRNA from 1 species
GGAGGAAUGGCCGAGUGGUUUAAGGCGGCGGUCUUGAAAACCGCAGUGCUCGAAAGGGUACCGGGGGUUCGAAUCCCUCUUCCUCCGCCA